rnacentral:lncRNA from 1 species
UGAUUUUGGGAUUUGAGAGUGGAGUAUCUAAAGUAGGUCGCAGAGGGGGAGAGAAUAAGGGAUUUGGUGAGUGAGGUGGAUAUGUGUAAGGGAGGAAGUAGUGUGUGUGGAUGUAAAAAAUUUGGGAAGAGGAAUGAGAGGCCGUAGACCAUGGGAAUGAAGUGUCAGAAUAGAGGUGUGGGGGUGUCUCUGUGUAGGGAGAGGGGAUGAGUGGUGUAGCUGUGUGGUGUGAGAGUAUGAGCUGUAUAUAGGUUGGUAUAGCUGCUGUAAAUAUGAUAGUUGGGAAGAGAACAUUACAGGUGUGAGUGUGUUAAGUGUUAGUGCGUGUCUUAUGCAAGGACAUGAUGAUAUUGUGUUGAGUUGGUAGUAUUGGGGGACGCCGAUAUUGGUUGUCGCUACCUAGAAAAAGUAAGUUGAUCGUCGAUAGUGGUGAUGGUCGGGGGACUCCGACGGGAAGGGGUUUGGUCGCUGAUAUUAGUGACGGAAAAGUAUGGUAUUUGUGUGUGUGUGUGGCCUAUUAAGGGUCGAGAGGUAGGCGGAUUAUUGGUGGUCGCCGAUACUGGUGACGGGUCAGAAUAUUGGUACGCUUGGGGUGACGUUGGGAGACGGUCACACAUGGUAUGCAUGAUAUUCAAGAUAUCGGGGUACAUUUUAGUCCUAUGUAGUCCUAUAGUGAUAAUAAGGUAGGACUUAGGUUGGGUGAUAGGGUACAUAUAGAAAUAAUGGGUUUCAUAUUUGUGCAUAUCAUAUUUGUAAACUUAAUUUUAAUUGUACUGAGUUAUAUGAACUCACUCUCUAUUAUUCACAGAUGAUGUAGGAAUGGAGUCGGGAUCGAAGUUGCUGGUUCCCGAGCCUAGCGUAGAGAGCAACAUAAUAAGGAUCUUUAUUAACAGAAUUGAAUGUGUAAAAAUUGGUAGUAGAGUAGAUAGUAUGUCUAUUGAUAGUGUAUAUGGUUGUAUUUCACGUGAUAUUACAUGUAUGGUUGCAUGUCUAUCUUGAUUCUGAACAAUAGAUGGUGAUAGUUUUUCUAUGUGCAUGACUGAUUUGAAACGAAAUUUCUGUAUUUAAUCAUGGAUUUGG